ACACUCCUACGGGAGGCAGCAGUGGGGAAUAUUGGACAAUGGGCGCAAGCCUGAUCCAGCCAUGCCGCGUGAGUGAUGAAGGCCCUAGGGUUGUAAAGCUCUUUCACCGGUGAAGAUAAUGACGGUAACCGGAGAAGAAGCCCCGGCUAACUUCGUGCCAGCAGCCGCGGUAAUACGAAGGGGGCUAGCGUUGUUCGGAUUUACUGGGCGUAAAGCGCACGUAGGCGGACUAUUAAGUCAGAGGUGAAAUCCCGGGGCUCAACCCCGGAACUGCCUUUGAUACUGGUAGUCUUGAGUUCGAGAGAGGUGAGUGGAAUUCCGAGUGUAGAGGUGAAAUUCGUAGAUAUUCGGAGGAACACCAGUGGCGAAGGCGGCUCACUGGCUCGAUACUGACGCUGAGGUGCGAAAGCGUGGGGAGCAAACAGGAUUAGAUACCCGAGUAGUCCCAUG
rnacentral:rRNA from 1 species